GGUUAAGUUAGAAAGGGCGCACGGUGGAUGCCUUGGCACUAGGAGCCGAUGAAGGACGGGACGAACACCGAUAUGCUUCGGGGAGCUGUAAGCAAGCUUUGAUCCGGAGAUUUCCGAAUGGGGAAACCCACCACUCGUAAUGGAGUGGUAUCCAUAUCUGAAUACAUAGGAUAUGAGAAGGCAGACCCGGGGAACUGAAACAUCUAAGUACCCGGAGGAAGAGAAAGCAAAUGCGAUUCCCUGAGUAGCGGCGAGCGAAACGGGAUCAGCCCAAACCAAGAGGCUUGCCUCUUGGGGUUGUAGGACACUCUGUACGGAGUUACAAAGGAACGAGGUAGAUGAAGAGGUCUGGAAAGGCCCGCCAUAGGAGGUAACAGCCCUGUAGUCAAAACUUCGUUCUCUCCUGAGUGGAUCCUGAGUACGGCGGAACACGUGAAAUUCCGUCGGAAUCCGGGAGGACCAUCUCCCAAGGCUAAAUACUCCCUAGUGACCGAUAGUGAACCAGUACCGUGAGGGAAAGGUGAAAAGCACCCCGGAAGGGGAGUGAAAGAGAUCCUGAAACCGUGUGCCUACAAGUAGUCAGAGCCCGUUAACGGGUGAUGGCGUGCCUUUUGUAGAAUGAACCGGCGAGUUACGAUCCCGUGCAAGGUUAAGCAGAAGAUGCGGAGCCGCAGCGAAAGCGAGUCUGAAUAGGGCGAAUUGAGUACGUGGUCGUAGACCCGAAACCAGGUGAUCUACCCAUGUCCAGGGUGAAGUUCAGGUAACACUGAAUGGAGGCCCGAACCCACGCACGUUGAAAAGUGCGGGGAUGAGGUGUGGGUAGGGGUGAAAUGCCAAUCGAACCUGGAGAUAGCUGGUUCUCUCCGAAAUAGCUUUAGGGCUAGCCUCAAGGUAAGAGUCUCGGAGGUAGAGCACUGAUUGGACUAGGGGCCCCUACCGGGUUACCGAAUUCAGUCAAACUCCGAAUGCCGAUGACUUAUCCUUGGGAGUCAGACUGCGAGUGAUAAGAUCCGUAGUCGAAAGGGAAACAGCCCAGACCGCCAGCUAAGGUCCCAAAGUAUACGUUAAGUGGAAAAGGAUGUGGAGUUGCUUAGACAACCAGGAUGUUGGCUUAGAAGCAGCCACCAUUUAAAGAGUGCGUAAUAGCUCACUGGUCGAGUGACUCUGCGCCGAAAAUGUACCGGGGCUAAACGUAUCACCGAAGCUGCGGACUGUUCUUCGAACAGUGGUAGGAGAGCGUUCUAAGGGCUGUGAAGCAAGACCGGAAGGACUUGUGGAGCGCUUAGAAGUGAGAAUGCCGGUAUGAGUAGCGAAAGAGGGGUGAGAAUCCCCUCCACCGAAUGCCUAAGGUUUCCUGAGGAAGGCUCGUCCGCUCAGGGUUAGUCGGGACCUAAGCCGAGGCCGAAAGGCGUAGGCGAUGGAUAACAGGUUGAUAUUCCUGUACCACCUCCUCACCAUUUGAGCAAUGGGGGGACGCAGGAGGAUAGGGUAAGCGCGGUAUUGGAUAUCCGCGUCCAAGCAGUUAGGCUGGGAAAUAGGCAAAUCCGUUUCCCGUGAAGGCUGAGCUGUGAUGGCGAGCGAAUUAUAGUAGCGAAGUUCCUGAUUCCACACUGCCAAGAAAAGCCUCUAGCGAGGUGAGAGGUGCCCGUACCGCAAACCGACACAGGUAGGCGAGGAGAGAAUCCUAAGGUGAUCGAGAGAACUCUCGUUAAGGAACUCGGCAAAAUGACCCCGUAACUUCGGGAGAAGGGGUGCUCUGUUAGGGUGCAAGCCCGAGAGAGCCGCAGUGAAUAGGCCCAGGCGACUGUUUAGCAAAAACACAGGUCUCUGCGAAGCCGUAAGGCGAAGUAUAGGGGCUGACGCCUGCCCGGUGCUGGAAGGUUAAGAGGAGCGCUUAGCGUAAGCGAAGGUGCGAAUUGAAGCCCCAGUAAACGGCGGCCGUAACUAUAACGGUCCUAAGGUAGCGAAAUUCCUUGUCGGGUAAGUUCCGACCCGCACGAAAGGCGCAACGAUCUGGGCACUGUCUCAACGAGAGACUCGGUGAAAUUAUAGUACCUGUGAAGAUGCAGGUUACCCGCGACAGGACGGAAAGACCCCGUGGAGCUUUACUGCAGCCUGAUAUUGAAUGUUGGUACAGCUUGUACAGGAUAGGUAGGAGCCUUGGAAACCGGAGCGCCAGCUUCGGUGGAGGCAUCGGUGGGAUACUACCCUGGCUGUAUUGACCUUCUAACCCGCCGCCCUUAUCGGGCGGGGAGACAGUGUCAGGUGGGCAGUUUGACUGGGGCGGUCGCCUCCUAAAAGGUAACGGAGGCGCCCAAAGGUUCCCUCAGAAUGGUUGGAAAUCAUUCGCAGAGUGUAAAGGCACAAGGGAGCUUGACUGCGAGACCUACAAGUCGAGCAGGGACGAAAGUCGGGCUUAGUGAUCCGGUGGUUCCGCAUGGAAGGGCCAUCGCUCAACGGAUAAAAGCUACCCCGGGGAUAACAGGCUUAUCUCCCCCAAGAGUCCACAUCGACGGGGAGGUUUGGCACCUCGAUGUCGGCUCAUCGCAUCCUGGGGCUGUAGUCGGUCCCAAGGGUUGGGCUGUUCGCCCAUUAAAGCGGUACGCGAGCUGGGUUCAGAACGUCGUGAGACAGUUCGGUCCCUAUCCGUCGCGGGCGCAGGAAAUUUGAGAGGAGCUGUCCUUAGUACGAGAGGACCGGGAUGGACGCACCGCUGGUGUACCAGUUGUUCUGCCAAGGGCAUCGCUGGGUAGCUAUGUGCGGACGGGAUAAGUGCUGAAAGCAUCUAAGCAUGAAGCCCCCCUCAAGAUGAGAUUUCCCAUUCCGCAAGGAAGUAAGAUCCCUGAAAGAUGAUCAGGUUGAUAGGUCUGAGGUGGAAGUGUGGCGACACAUGGAGCUGACAGAUACUAAUCGAUCGAGGACUUAACCUA
rnacentral:rRNA from 1 species